ensembl:snRNA U6 U6 spliceosomal RNA
GUGCUCGCUUCCACAGCACAUACACUAAAAUUGGAACGACACAGAGGAGAUUAGCAUGACCCCCGCACAAGGAUGACGUGCAAAUUCCUGAAGUGUGCCAUAUUUAA